UGGGGAAUAUUGCACAAUGGGCGAAAGCCUGAUGCAGCAACGCCGCGUGAGUGAUGAAGGCCUUCGGGUUGUAAAGCUCUGUCUUUUGGGACGAUAAUGACGGUACCAAAGGAGGAAGCCACGGCUAACUACGUGCCAGCAGCCGCGGUAAUACGUAGGUGGCAAGCGUUGUCCGGAUUUACUGGGCGUAAAGGAUGCGUAGGCGGAUUUUUAAGUGAGAUGUGAAAUACCCGGGCUUAACUUGGGUGCUGCAUUUCAAACUGGGAAUCUAGAGUGCGGGAGAGGAGAAUGGAAUUCCUAGUGUAGCGGUGAAAUGCGUAGAGAUUAGGAAGAACACCAGUGGCGAAGGCGAUUCUCUGGACCGUAACUGACGCUGAGGCAUGAAAGCGUGGGUAGCAAACAGGAUUAGAUACCCUGGUAGUCCACGCCGUAAACGAUGAGUACUAGGUGUAGGAGGUAUCGACCCCUUCUGUGCCGCAGUUAACACAAUAAGUACUCCGCUGGCAGUGAACGAUCGCAAGAUUAAAACUCAAAUGAAUUACGGGGGUCAAUAGCUGUUUUUCCU
rnacentral:rRNA from 1 species